ensembl:misc_RNA Metazoa_SRP Metazoan signal recognition particle RNA
GCCAGGCACAGUGGCACGUGCCUAUAGUCCCAGCUAUUCGGGAGGCUGAGGCUGGAGGAUCUCUUGAGGCCAGGAGUUCUGGGCUGUAGUGCACUAUGCCAAAGAGUGUCCGCACUAAGUUUGGCAUCAAUAUGGUGACCUCCCGGGAGCAGGGGAUCACCAGAUUGCUUAAGGAGGGGUGAACCGGCCCAGGUCAGAAACGGAGCAGGUCAAAACUCCCGUACUGAUCAGUAGUGGGAUCGUGCCUGUGAACAGCCACUGCAAUCCAGCCUGGGCGACAUAGCGAGACCCCCAUCUCU